rnacentral:lncRNA from 1 species
AUUUACUUAAUCUGUGUGUGUAUACGCUCUUCUGUGGGCCAUUAAAAUAUUUAAGCAUAUCGUUAAUUUAAAACAGGUGACUUAGGUUCAGUCUACUUAAAGCAAGUGCUCAGAAAAACAUGGCUGAUAUGAAGAUGCCCAUGUAAAGCAACACUUCUACCUACUGUUCUCCAGGAUAGUCCAUGUUGCAGCUGAUCUGGAAAAAUACUUUUCUUAUACACUGGGAGGGAAGGGAAGGGAGCUUCCAUGCACACAAGUCUUGAAGAAGCUCUCAAGGUUAGACAACUUUCCUGCAAAGCUCGCAAGAACUGAAAAAUACCUCAUUCAUUGGAGGAGAGGGGGAGCUGCAUCUAGCAAAUGCACAGCUUUAUGACCAGCAAGACAACAUCAAGCAGUUUAUUGCAGACUCUGUUUAUGCCUUGCAAGAGUGCAACCUAGUACGCCCAUGUGCAUGCUUUGUUUUCAGCACCAACUCUGGAAGCGAUUUUGAAUCUCAUUUCAUUUUAGUUGAAUCUAUGUUCUCUUUGUUGUCUGUCUGUGAAUCUGUACUGAAAAAAAAGUUAAAUUUGGACUAAUGUUGUUUUCCCUGUUUAAAAAGGCAUUGGAUUUAUUUUAGAUUAGUUCAAACUCUUUUACGUCCCUGUUUCUUUCUUAACCCUUCAAUGCCGACUUCAUACUGUUAAGGUAAACCAUGCCAUUUCAAGGGAAGGCAGGGGAAAAAAACUUAGCUACAUGAAAGUGAAGAUUCAGCUCUAAAAGACAGGAAAGAUAUUUGGCCAUAUUAACUUCAGUGUGAAUUCAAUGGAUAAUCCCCUUGUAUGAUAACUGAGGUGUUUCAUUGGUAAAUGAGGUCACCAGGAUGCACGUGUGAGUAUCUGUAGCAGUCUGGAAGACUU